AUGAGGGAAGAACCAAUUCAUUGGGCUAGGGCAUUUUUUCCUAUAGGAGCUAACUCUGAAUCAGUAGACAAUAAUCUUUGUGAGUCAUUUCACAAUGACAUUAUAGAAUCAAGGUUCUAUCCAAUAAUUUCACAACAAGAGAUGAUAAGAAAGAAAAUGCUCAUUGGGGUGCAAGAGCAGAGAGCCAAAUCAGCAAAAUGGAAGGGCAAAAUUUGCCCAAAUAUUUUCAAGAAACUCUAG
rnacentral:rRNA from 1 species